rnacentral:tRNA from 1 species
AUCUCAGUAGCUCAGUUGGUUAGAGUAAAGGUCUUUUAACCCAGUAGUCGUAGGUUCGAUUCCUACCUGGGAAA